rnacentral:rRNA from 2 species
AGCAUAGCGAUUUGGGAUAAGUCCCUUGGAAGAGGGCAGCAUGGAGGGUGAUACUCCCGUCUCUGCUUAGAUCUGUUGUGUGUACGAUACGCUUUCUUUGAGUCGAGUUGCUUGGGAAUGCAGCUCAAAGCAGGUGGUAAAUUCCAUCUAAAGCUAAAUAUAGGUGCGAGACCGAUAGCGAACAAGUACCGUGAGGGAAAGAUGAAAAGAACUUUGAAAAGAGAGUUAAAGAGUACCUGAAACUGUUGAAAGGGAACCGUAUCGUUUCUAGUGUGUAUCCUAUGCAUAUUUCAUUGGCGGUUGUAAAAUUGCUGGUGCCCUGUGUAUGGGUGUGACGUCAGAGUCAGUUUGAAUUGCGGGAGAUGGGUAGUGAGGAGGUGCGUCACUUUUUGUGAAAGUUACAGCUCGCUAUCUAGUAGCCGUGGUUGAGACUGAGGUGCC